rnacentral:rRNA from 1 species
AUGACUGGUCAAAAUUCCCUUCGAUGCCCAGCCACGCCAUCGCCCUCCAUCUCCCCCGCCGGCAACCAGCGAGCCCAACCACGACGCUCAACUGUCGCGCCGUCCUCGAUCUGGAUGGAGCCGCCGCCGCCGCCGCGCCGUCCUCGAUCUAGAUGGAGCCGCCGCCGCGCCGAUCUCGAUCUGGGUCGAGCCCCCGCUAAGCUGACCUCGAUCUGGAUCGAGCCGCCGCUGCUCUCUCUCCUCUUCUCCGCCCCACGACGGUGGCAAACUGCGGCAGGGGGGGGAGGCCAACGGCGACUACCACACGCUUGGAGGGUGGGGGAUGGAGGGGCGCACGUAUGA